rnacentral:rRNA from 1 species
UACGAAGGGGGCUAGCGUUGCUCGGAAUCACUGGGCGUAAAGGGUGCGUAGGCGGGUCUUUUAAGUCAGGGGUGAAAUCCUGGAGCUCAACUCCAGAACUGCCUUUGAUACUGGAAAGCUCGAGUCCGGGAGAGGUGAGUGGAACUGCGAGUGUAGAGGUGAAAUUCGUAGAUAUUCGCAAGAACACCAGUGGCGAAGGCGGCACUCUGGGCCGGUACUGGACGCUGAGGUGCGAAAGCGUGGGGAGCAAGCAGG